rnacentral:rRNA from 1 species
UACGAAGGGUGCAAGCGUUAAUCGGAAUUACUGGGCGUAAAGCGCGCGUAGGUGGUUCAGCAAGUUGGAUGUGAAAUCCCCGGGCUCAACCUGGGAACUGCAUCCAAAACUACUGAGCUAGAGUACGGUAGAGGGUGGUGGAAUUUCCUGUGUAGCUGUGAAAUGCGUAGAUAUAGGAAGGAACACCAGUGGCGAAGGCGACCACCUGGACUGAUACUGACACUGAGGUGCGAAAGCGUGGGGAGCAAACAGG